AGAGAGUAAAGGUAAAUUUACUGAAAAGGGAUGACGCAAAGCUAUAGGGAAUUCUGUCAGGUUUCGACAAAAUCAGUCAGCUGCCAUC
rnacentral:ncRNA from 1 species